UCAAACUGAAAGAAUAGCAACAGUAACAGUCACUAAAAUACUGCUCCCUAACAAGGAGUAUGAAUUUAAUGGAAGGACAUCUGAGGUUACCAUCAAUAAUAUGAAAAUACCAGUCCAAACUGAAGUAAAAUACUUGGGAUUAUACCUCAACCAAAACCUGACAUGGCAGAAAUCCAUCAGAAGUUAAACUUAAAACUAUGAGAAAGGUCCGGGCUUUUGGACCAUAAAUGCAAACUAUCCACAGAAAACAACCUUAUACUAUGCAAGUGCAUAAUAAAA